rnacentral:rRNA from 1 species
UACGUAGGGGGCAAGCGUUGUCCGGAUUUAUUGGGCGUAAAGCGCUCGCAGGUGGUUCGUUGCGUCGUGCGUGAAAGACCCCGGCUCAACUGGGGGAUGUCGUGCGAUACGGGCGGACUGGAGGCCAGUAGGGGGAUGCGGAAUUCCGGGUGUAGUGGUGGAAUGCGUAGAUAUCAGGAGGAAUACCGAUGGCGAAGGCAGGUCUCUGGGCUGACACUGACGCUCAUGCACGAAAGCGUGGGGAGCAAACAGG